rnacentral:rRNA from 1 species
UGCAAGUCGAACGGUGAAGCGAGAGCUUGCUCUCGUGGAUCAGUGGCGAACGGGUGAGUAACACGUGAGUAACCUGCCCCAGACUCUGGGAUAAGCCUUGGAAACGAGGUCUAAUACCGGAUACGAGACGAGAUCGCAUGGUCAUCGUCUGGAAAGAAUUUCGGUCUGGGAUGGACUCGCGGCCUAUCAGCUUGUUGGUGAGGUAAUGGCUCACCAAGGCGACGACGGGUAGCCGGCCUGAGAGGGCGACCGGCCACACUGGAACUGAGACACGGUCCAGACUCCUACGGGAGGCAGCAGUGGGGAAUAUUGCACAAUGGGCGCAAGCCUGAUGCAGCGACGCCGCGUGGGGGAUGAAGGCCUUCGGGUUGUAAACCCCUUUCAGCAGGGAAGAAGCGAAAGUGACGGUACCUGCAGAAGAAGCGCCGGCUAACUACGUGCCAGCAGCCGCGGUAAUACGUAGGGCGCAAGCGUUGUCCGGAAUUAUUGGGCGUAAAGAGCUCGUAGGCGGUCUGUCGCGUCUGCUGUGAAAACCCGAGGCUCAACCUCGGGCCUGCAGUGGGUACGGGCAGACUAGAGUGUGGUAGGGGAGACUGGAAUUCCUGGUGUAGCGGUGGAAUGCGCAGAUAUCAGGAGGAACACCAAUGGCGAAGGCAGGUCUCUGGGCCACUACUGACGCUGAGGAGCGAAAGCAUGGGGAGCGAACAGGAUUAGAUACCCUGGUAGUCCAUGCCGUAAACGGUGGGCACUAGAUGUGGGGCUCUUUCCAUGAGUUCCGCGUCGCAGCUAACGCAUUAAGUGCCCCGCCUGGGGAGUACGGCCGCAAGGCUAAAACUCAAAGGAAUUGACGGGGGCCCGCACAAGCGGCGGAGCAUGCGGAUUAAUUCGAUGCAACGCGAAGAACCUUACCAAGGCUUGACAUAUACCCUUUAUCCCUAGAGAUAGGGAGUCCUUCGGGGGGGUAUACAGGUGGUGCAUGGUUGUCGUCAGCUCGUGUCGUGAGAUGUUG